CAAACGGCUCUUUUUAGAGCCACUAAAUGUUCUAAAAGAAUACAAA
rnacentral:ncRNA from 1 species